UCGCGGCUUAUCACCGGCAGUCCCCUUAGAGUGCCCAACUUAAUGAUGGCAACUAAGGGCGAGGGUUGCGCUCGUUGCGGGACUUAACCCAACAUCUCACGACACGAGCUGACGACAGCCAUGCACCACCUGUGACAGUGUCCCGAAGGAAAACCGUGUUUCCACGGCGGUCACUGACAUGUCAAGCCUAGGUAAGGUUCUGCGCGUUGCGUCGAAUUAAACCACAUGCUCCACCGCUUGUGCGGGCCCCCGUCAAUUCCUUUGAGUUUCAGCCUUGCGGCCGUACUCCCCAGGCGGGGUACUUAGUGCGUUAGCGCCGGUUCGGCGGGGGUCAAGACCCACCAAACCUAGUACCCAUCGUUUACGGCGUGGACUAC
rnacentral:misc_RNA from 1 species